rnacentral:rRNA from 1 species
GAUGAACGCUGGCGGCGUGCUUAACACAUGCAAGUCGAACGAUGAAGCCCAGCUUUUUGUGUUGAUUAGUGGCGAGCGGGUGAGUAACACGUGAGUAACUUGCCCUUCACUCUGGGAUAAGCCUGGGCAACUGGGUCUAAUACCGAAUAGGAGCGUUCACCGCCCGGUGGGUGUUGGAGUGAUUUAUCGGUUUUGGAUGGCUUCGCGGCGUAUCCGCUUGUUGGUGAGGUAUUGGCUCACGAAGGGGACGACGGGUAGCCGGCCUGAGAGGGUGACCGGCCACACGGGGACUGAGACAGGGCGCAGACGCGUACGGGAGGCAACAGUGGGGAAUAUGGCGCAGUAGGGGCGAGGCGGAUGCGACGGCGCCGGGUGAGUGAUGACGGCCUUCGGGGUGUGAACCACUUUCAGUAGGGAUGAGGCGGAAGUGACGGUACCUGCAGAAGAAGCGCCGGCUAACUACGUG